rnacentral:lncRNA from 1 species
GCAAUCUCAGCUCACUGCAACCUCCGCCUCCCGGGUUCAAGAGGUGUUACAGUUCCAUGACUGCUCCUGUAGAGCAGGACUACUGUGUAGGGAGAGAGUAGCCGUUCAGGGCCAUUCUGCAGUCAUAUUUACACGCACUUUAAUUGCAUGCAGAUAAAGGAACAGUUUAUGCAGCAAUUUCUAGGGAAGGGAUAGUAACUUUUGGGUCAUUGGGUCAUUGCCAUGGAAAAGGGUGGUAACGCCCACAUGUUGCUAUGGCAACGGUGAAUUGACCCGGCACACUAGUGGGCGUGUCUGAUUGAAAGCGGCUUUCUCUGGGGCCGUUUUAGCUAGUCCUCAAUCUGGUCCCGUGUCCAAGUGUCCAAGCCAUGCCUCUGGAGUUGAGUGCCACCUCCUACCUCACCUUGUUGAAUAGAAAAUGAAUGAGUGACAGUAUGAAUGAAUGGACACCUGUUAAAAGAGCCAUCUAUUACAGCUAAAUGAAUGAAGGGCAUAGACAGUCCUUUGGUUGUUUUUCCAACUAGAAAUCUCUCCCUGUGUUCUGUGAUGGCCUAAGUCUGGCCCUGCUCAAGUGAGGGACUUCCUCGAUGGGCUGGUCUCAUUCUUGUGCCCUCCAGGACAGCAGGGCAGAGGGAGAGGGAAAUGGGAGGGGCUGAGGGACAACGUGGCUCUUCUGGGAGCCUCUUUACCCUGUGAAAUUUCCUCUGGCAGCUUUCCCCCUUGGCCUGCAGCCUGUGCCGGCCCCUGCCCCCAACUCAUUGGCUUUGGUUACAGGGACAGGCCCAGAGUCAAGAACAAUAAAGGGAGGAGGGGCCUGCUUCACAGGGUCAGGGGUCAGGGAGGGGGUUUGAAGGGUGAGGAGAUUGGCUCUGUGUAGCAUCCGGUUUCAAACAACUCUGUUUAGAAAUAGAAGAGAAGCCCUCCGGAAAAUGGAAGGGCUCUGGCAGGCCUCCCAGCUGGCCAAGGAACAGCAAGUUCCUGCCAAUAUGUGACGGAAGUGGGGGAUUUGUGGGGAGGGAGGAGGGAAGAGGGCACUGGAGGGAGUAGACACAACCUAGCAACAUUUUCCCUGCUAAAAACCUUGCUCUGAAGUAAACAUGGAGGGUUCUUAUUCUUCCUGGCUGUGUGCACUCGGGCCAGCCUACUUCCUGUGGGCGCAAUUAUUCCCAGGGGUGUGUGUUUUCGUUUUUAAAGACAGAGAAUUAUAAGCUAUUCAUGGUCACUGCCUGAGAAUUCUUUGGAAUAAUGAGAUAGAAAAAUCAUCUCUACUGUUCACAUUUCUGAGGAAGAACAAGCCUUCUAGACUCUCUCCUAGGAUGGGGCUGGGAAACUCACUUUUUCUCCUGCUAAGCUCCUUCUCAGUCCAUUAGAGCCAGAGGGCCAAUAGGGGCCUCUUCGUGCUUUGUAGGCUAGAGGGUGUAAAGAACCUAGAUGUGCAGGAAAUCUGCUCUGGCUGAUCAGGCAGGUGAACUCGGGGAGGGAGAGCUCUAAGGGAGGACCAAAUGAGACAGUGGAGAUGGCGGCUCGGCUUCAGCUCACCCCUGCUGGAGCAUUCUUAGUGAUCACAAAACCCACACUACUGCCUCGCUGAUACCAUAAUGUGCAACCAUGCCUUUUACUUUACAAAUUUCAGGCACUGGCCUUUGGAGAUAACAAGGUUGUGAAGUGUCCCACUUCGGGAAGGAAUGCUAACAAUUGAGUUACCGCCUUGUUGCCACUGACCAGAGCAUCAGGUGGUCCAUUACUCAAGAUAACCGUGGCAACCAGAUAUGCUGACCCUCAUCCCCUACCCUCAGGUGCUUUGCCCAGCCCACCCUGUAUACCUCAUGCCCCAUGUUAAUUCCUGCGCUUUGCCUAAUAAAAAAGCAGGGCUCUUUUGGGGGAGUAAGUCAGGGAAUUCUCUCUCUGUCUCUGUCUCUGUCUCUCUCUCUCUCUCUCUCGCUGCCUCUUUUAUGUCCAGGCAUAAGCUCCAGUGAAGCCUUGUUUGGAAAAACUCUUUGGGCCUUGUGUGAAUUUCUAUUGCAUUGAGAGCCCAAGAAUCAUGGUUGGUAAUGUGAGGGGCCUUAUUGAGGGGGGGCAAGUCAUUCCACAUUUUCCAAAUGAGACCGAAGUGGAUACACAGACUAACAAUAACUGCAGUGACUCAUUCUCCUUUCCAGAACCUCAACUCACAGCUGUCCCCAGUGGCUUUGUGGCAUUUCACAACAGUUUUGACUUUAGAACCUCUCUCACCUUGGCCCCCACUCCAGAGCCAAAGGAACCCCCACAUCUCAGGAAGUAGGUUAUGAAUCUGGGAUACCCUGGAAGCCCAGAUGCAAAACCCAUAUUAGGGAGGAGGAAAUGGGGAAAAUGAAUGUUUUUUAAAGCCACCUUCUACACAAGCCUCCCCAAGAAGGGUGGAUCAUCUUUGCUGCUAUAGGAACUCUUAUUCAUUGCUGGUGGAGGGUCCAAAGAGAUAAUGUUAAAGUAUUGAUUUGAGCUGAAGGAGUGAAUUAUGCUAAUAAUUAGAUUAUUAAUCCUUUUACAAAUCUAACACUAUCCAAUUAUUUUAACAAAGAUGAAGGAGAAACUAAUGAGUGUUCCAUAAUAUCAGUAUUGGACAACGUAGCUUUAGAGCUUUAUGGUCACAGAAAAGGAAAAAAAAUUGAAUUUGUAUACAUUUUAAGAGAAAUGAUAAGGCGAUUAAUAAAUGACUUUGAUCAUAAAUGUAUAUUAUAUCAGGAUAAAGUUCUUUAGGGAAAGAGGAGUGGAAAUACAAACUCAAGGAGAAAAAAGGAAUAAUGUAAAAUUUCUGACUGUUAAAGAAGAGCUUGUUCGUGAUUUUUUUUAAAAAAAUGGAACAUAUUAAAUUGCUAAAACAUUCCAAUUCUAUUUUGAUACAUUUAAAUAGUGGCUUAUAGUUAUUCCAAAAUGUUUAACUGUUAAAAUGUUAAAAGAUUUCAAAUUUACAGUAAAAUGUAACAUUUUUCAGCUAUUUAAACUCAAAAUGAGAUUUAAAAUACCAACACAAAAAUUUUAAGGCAUCCCUUCAGAGUAGAGGAGGAAAAAAAAACUGUCAAAGGGGAUAUAUAAUGUUCCAACAUUAUUUUAGGGGACAUGCAAUGCAAGCAAAAUACUUGAAGACUCCUGAGCUGGACAGCAUUUGUGUUCUUUUCAACUCUUUGGAUUUUGUGGAUGGGGUCUAAGAGGUUACUCUGGUGAGUGGGCACUGCAAAGAGCAGGACACCUAUCUCCAAAUGUAAAGGUUCACUUACAACCAAGUCUCCAAACAAAACAAAGUAGAAACAAGCCAACAAAUAAAACCCACCAUCUCCUUCUCUUAUACACACACACACACACACACACACAGAGCAGACCCCCCAAGCCCCCCAGUAGUUGUUCCAGUAUAGGCCGUUCAUCAACCUGUGAAAACAUGAGCUUCGUUAGCAACAGGGCAUGGUCUGAUCCCUGGGAAAUCUCUGGAGCUGGGAGUGGCCUCAAAGAGGAUCAUUAAAGAUCAAAAACCCCACUUGAAGUUGUUUGUUCUGCUGCAGUGUAAAUCCUCUUGGCUGAGCAGCCCUUGACAGAGUCUGCUGCCUAAACAGAAGUCUUAGACGGGUGUUUGGUUUGUUUUCUGUGGAAAUCAAGGCAAAGGUCUGAGUUCCACAUCUGAGUGCAGACCCAGGACAGUGUACACGGGAUGGCAAAGUGACUCAAACUGAAAGAACUCAGUGGAAGCAGAAACUAGGAGCCAGAGGUGAGAACAUAAGCCUCCCCACCCCCAAAUGGAGAAUAUGGAGACAUCCUGGGGACAGUGGCCUUUCCAGGCACGUAGAGGGUUCAUGAGCUUGCAUUUUGUCAUGCAUGAGGAGCCCAGCUUGCUUAUAUUCAGCUCUGCGUGGAUUCCUCGUGCUGUUGUCCUACUCCAGGUGUCAGGAAUAGCUCAGCCCUUCCCAGAGGCAGCAAGAGAGCAAGAAGGACAGAGGAGACUGAGCUGGCAGGUCUCUAAAUGACCUCAAGUCACCACAGCCACUGGUGCUGAAGGAAAUGGGAAAAUAGUCUCGUGACCCAGCGAGUGCUUCCCAUGCAGUCUGUCAUCUCUGGAGGCCUCAGAACCUGGUGUCACAUUACAGGGUGAAUGCCAGGGACAAGCUAAAGAGAGGAGAAGGUAUGACAUAGCUCCACCUACAUGCAAGGGGAGCCAGGAAGUGCAAUCCCUGGCUGGGCUGCCACGUCUCAGAAACCAUUAAGCCUAUGGAAGGUCUCUGGAUUUGAUGGCAAAUGGCAGCAGAAAUGUGGAAAAGAUCAAAGUGAUGUCAAGGUUGAUCUCUGAGUUUGGCAUGGCUGAACUCAAACAUCAUUUGCCAUGGACCCACAGUGUCUUCAGUAGCUGAGUGUGGUGUCAUUCCCCUAUGAUAUGUGCACUCAAUUGCUGGCCAGUUUUUGUUUUUUGUUUUUGAGAGAGUCUCGCUUUGUCUCCUAGGCUGGAGUGCAGUGGCACGAUCUCGGCUCACUGCAACCUCCGCCUCCCGGGUUCAAGUGAUUUUCCUGCCUCAGCCUCCCGAGUAGCUGAGAUUACAGGCAUGUGCCAGCAGGCCCGGCUAAUUUUUUUUGUAAUUUUAGUAGAGACGGGGUUUUGCCAUGUUGGCCAGGCUGGUCUCGAGCUCCUGGCCUCAAGUGAUCCACCUGCCUCCACCUCCCAAAGUGCUGGGAUUACAGGUGUGAGCCACUGUACCUGGCCCCAAAGUUUUAGAAAUUGGAUCAUUUUAAAUGUUGGAGGGGAGUUCAUUGUUUAGGAUGGCUGUGUGGCAAAUCUUUUUUUAAAGUAAGUAAUUCUCCUCUAUUAUAAGUCACCUCCUGAUCUCUACAUUUAAGGUUUGCUGUCCUGGAUGUGUUCACCUAUGAAUGUAAGUGUGCUGAGAUACACAGUGCAAGGCUGAAGUCAGAGUACACCACUGAUGAACCCCUGGGAACUGGUAACCCAGCCAGGGAAUGAACAUCUUUUAUGAAUCAGUUUAUCCACCAAACACUUGCAGAGAGCCUAUCCCAUGCCACCCCUGAGGGCACGGUGAUGGAGAAGAUAUGCUUCCUGCCUCCAAGAACCCCAUAGUCUAGUGGCAGAGACAAGCAGGUACAUAGCUGCCUAUAGUACAGCAUCACAGGUGCCAUAACAUUGUGUAAACUGGGAAUAAUUCUAUUCUCUGGAUAUAGAACAUCUAACCAAGAUAUUGAGUAUCUGGCUUCCCCUUCCCCACACUGGCCCUCACUGGGAUCCAUGUCUAAUAUUAUGAAAGUCACACAAUAUCAUUAUAAACUAAUCAUAAAUGGCACUGUCAGUUUGCUACAAAAACUUAUUCAGAAAAUAUUCAGAUUCUCCCAUCAACAUAUGCCGCUAUGUUGGCAAAAGCUCUGAUUUAAAAUACUUAUUUCGUUUUCCUCUCCGAUUUUGUUCUAGUCUUCAAAAUGAUUUCAUACAACAUAGCACUGAGUUCCUUAGUUCCUCUGACCCCUGCCAGAUCUGAAGCUGUGAUGUUCAAAAGUCAGGGCAGAGUCCAUCUUAUGAUUGAGUUUCAUAAGAGUCUAAGCCACUGAUCAACAUACUGUGGCAGAGUAAGCUUUCUGGGUUCCAGAAUUUAUUGUGAGUGGGCUGAGGGAGUUGAGAAAUGGCAUGGGAGGCCUAAAGAGAAAAUAACUUUUGAAUGAAAAUUAUAGGAAAGUGGAUUUGAGAUCAAAACAAAGGAAGGUUGAUCAUAGUUGGAAUCAUUUAAGAUUGGUGGGGGUAGUGGGCUUCUGGUUCUUAACCCAGGCCAGGCAGAGGUGUGACAACAGUCAGGGGUUUCUAAACAGGGUGGGAGGUUAGAUGAGAAUAGCCUUCAACCCUUUGUGUUGAACUAAAAUCCUAGCUCUGCUUUCAACUCCUAGACUCUGCUUCAUCAUUGCUAAGUUGGAAAGAGCAAGCAAUUGAGAGUCCCUGCUGGCCACAGCUGGGGUGCCCCAGACCACAGCACUGAGCCUCAAAGGCAAGUGAGCAUAGUGUUGGGAGCUGGGCUUCUGGAUCCAUCAACUCCAUCUGAUGACUCGGAAGUUCCUUCAGUUCCCAACACUGGAGUCCAGCAAGGCUGGUUUGUCUUGUUUUAAUUAUUAUUUAGAUGACUGUUUGGCUCAUACCUGAGCAAGGUUCAAAUCAAGUCAGACCUGUUAAUUUAAUCAAAGUUAUAUAAUCACAUUUGGGCACUUAAAUGUAAACCAAUUAUGUUGGAAGCCAAGUAUCUUGUACUCAGGAGGGAGUUCUAAUAAGUGCUGGGAAUGUAUGCUAAUGCACAAAGCCUAACCCCCAGAGUGGAGGGUGGAGCACUCCAGGGCACUCCUGUUUCGGUGACGUUGUUUUAAUAGCUAGUGCUCUGGGUGCAGUCUGGGAAGAUAUUGGAAACAUCUCAAGCAAGUAUGACAUCCAUUUUACCCAAGCCCAUGGAACCCAUUAUGUUUGGAACAUGUCUGUCUGUGGCAUUUGGCUUGGCUUAUAAAUGCACUAUCAGAAUCUAUAGGAGGCCUUCGCAACAAGACGUGUCUUGGCCUUUCUGGUUAUCAGCAAUCCCUCCACCUCUCUCUUAACAAACAUAUGCCAUAAGUCCUGAUCAGGCAUUUAGUUUUUUCACUUGGACCUUUUCCUAGUUCCUAGUCUCAACCCCAAUGCCUCCUAAUCUUGUACUUCUUCAAAUACUGGCCCCCCUCUACUAUGAGAGAGAGAGGAAAGUAGGGAGGAGAAGGAGGAAAAGUUAUUGAGUUGAUAUGAGGGUAGUCAACCUAAAGCAACAAUCAGGAGUAAGGUACUGGACUUGAGUUUGAAGUGUUUGUCACUAAACUCUCUCAAACUCUUCCAGGCUAACUAGCCUCAGAGGGCUUCUAGCCCAUAGUCUCCUUGUAUUUUCUGCCCUCCUCACUUGGAGUGGGAGGGAACCAGAUGUCCAGUCUUUGUCCCGUGUUAAGAACUGGCCUGGCAGGCUUUGUUGAGACCAUCCAGACUUGAAAGCCUCACAACCAGAUGCCAUCACAGGCACUUUCUGCUCUUAACCUUUGUCUGUGUCUCCUACAUGAACUCAUCAGACUGCCUCUGAAGAGGGACAUUCUAGGGACAGUUUCAUCUUCAUCACCAUCCUGGAUAGGGAACCCUUCCAGACUCAGAGUUGCAAAAGUCAGGGAGGGGCUGCUCACUGGAGGUGGAGUCCUUUGGCCAGGUUUCACUGUAAACACAUGGCUAAAAUGUGUCGCACAUGGACAGGCAUGCUAGUGUGCUCUGGAUACAUGCUAGUGUGCCCCAGAUAUAUGCUAGUGUGCCCCGUAUAGCUUCUGGCUAAAGGACACACCUCAGCAAGGCCAAAUGAGGCAUCAGGAUGAACUCUUCAAAUAGACUUCAUUAGACCCACAGAAGACUAACCUUUGCCUGACUUUGGAUUACCCCUUUCUUGCCAGGAAUUAUGUUCAAUGACUAUAUCUGGAACUAGAGGUCUUGAUAGCCACACUUUGCUUGGUGUGGCUUCUCAGUCUUUUAAGGACAUGGCUAUCAAGGGCUCAUGUUUAUUCCAGGUCAGCCCUUUACCCCUUUCCUCCAGGGGCAUCUAUGGCAACAAAAGACCAUGACAUCUGGCAGGGCUGGCAGGACUAUUUAGUUUAGGCAGGAAUGUGGGUGUUAGCAUGUCAGAGUACAUCUGAGAAAACAUUCCAAACCAACCUUUCCACACUGGGAACUCAACCCCCAGGAAUCACCAAAGAUAAGGGCAACAGUCUUAUCUCUCGAGGGAAGUUCAGGGUAAAGUCCACUCCUGCUGUGGACCAGAGCUCAGGGAAGAAGAAAGCUCAGGCUGGCUCUGCCUGUCCACUUGAUGAACUUCCACAAAUGCCACUCUGGGAGCUGAGGCAUAUGAAGUGGGGAAGAAAAUACCAGCCCUGCCCUGGAGCUCUGGGAUGGUGGCUGUACACCCCUAAAGAUGCCAGCAGAUCUGAACUGUGGCCUAUGUGUGUUUGGGAAUUGAGAAAUAAGGAGAUAGAGGGACAGCAGGCAGGAAAAACUACAAUUAGUCUCAGCUCACACAGAUUUGGGAGUAUGCAGAUCUGAAUUGUGGCCUCCAUGUGUUUGGCUGAAGGAUAAUGAUCUCAGGCCCAGACUUUUUUUUUUUUUUGUAUCACUCGCUCAGGGGGCUCUGACCAGGAGCUUCUUUCAGAUGACACAGAUCCCGAGGAGCCACUUGCCUUCUACCCAUGACACUUCUAAGAGUGACUCUUGCCAUGUGACCAUAGAGAUAAGUGAAGUUUUCUCCAAUGACAUCAUUAAGAAGUCUAAACUUCCCCAAAGGGAGAGGCUGUGACUAGGAACACAAAUGUCUCAGUGUAUCACACUCAUGCUCCCAGAUCUGUGGGCAGAAAAAGAAAUCAUAGAAUGGUGCAUAUCCUAAAAAUAAAAAGGAAAUUGCUUUUCAAGUUAUGAAAUUUGGCCCUUCUCAUUGUGAGUUUAAAGUACAUGUUACUGCUUCAGUUUCUAAAACAGGAGGUGGCCAAAUUCAGAGUUUAAAAUGUCUAAGUGGUUAUUUGAAAACAGAUAUUUAGAGGCAACUGAGAGAAGAAUACUGGGGCCAUGGGUCUGCAGUCACUUUCCCAGCAGUGCUCUGAGGCCUUGGGUCUCAUAAAAGGUAAUCAUAGUUACGCCUUUUAAAGAAAGCUGAGUCUAACUGUAGCUUUUCCUGCCUGUUGUCCCUCUAUCUCCUUACUUCCCAAUUCUAUCUAUCUUUCAAAACCCAGCUCAAAUCCCACCUCCUUCCAUAAGUCUUCCAUUGUUUAAUAUAGUUGGAAUUUACCUCUCCCUCCUCUAACUCCCAUGGCAUUUUAUUUACACCUCUCUGAUGGCCACUUUCUACUUUCUAUAAGGUAAGUUAUAUACUUGUUUUAUAUCAAUAAAUUUCAAAAUAUUGAAAUCUUA